rnacentral:rRNA from 1 species
AGAAUCAACGCUGGCGGCGUGCCUAACACAUGCAAGUCGAACGAGAAAGUGGAGCAAUCCAUGAGUAAAGUGGCGCACGGGUGAGUAACACGUGACUAACCUACCCGUUGAGUGGGGGAAUAACUGAGGGAAACCUUAGCUAAUACCGCAUAAUACCUACGGGUCAAAGGAGCAAUUCGGCUUAAGGAGGGGGUCGCGGCAGAUUAGCUAGUUGGCGGGGUAAUGGCCCACAAGGCAGUGAUCUGUA